AGGACUUGAGGUGGGACGUGGAGGAACAGGGUCCCCUCCUGGUUUGUCCACCCGGCCCAGACCUCCAUUCCUCACCCAACCUACCGCUUCAGAGCCAGGAAAAGACCUCAGAGAACAUCUGCUCCAACUCCACCAAGGCUCAGACAGGACAACAAGUGUGUGCUGGACACUGGGAAAUGUGGUCCAGGAGCAGUCACAGUCCCUACAGACUUCCCACAAAUUACCGUAAUGCAAAAAGUGCUCGGCCCCUGCCGACAUGAGCAAUGGGCAGGGCGUCCAACUGGGUUCCUGCCCCAUGAGAAGCACACAGCCUGGUUUGGGGAGGUGGGGCUCCAUCCGGGCUGUUCGGAUGCCUGAGUGGAGCCCACAGACCAGCCCCCACCUUGUGUGGUUAGGGCUGUGCUAGGAAGGCCGAUCUGUGUGCCAUGACCUUGGAACUCGACGUGAGAUCACUGGACCGGCAGCAGCACCUGGAAGCUUGUUGGAAAUGCUGAUCUCAGGUGGAACUCCAGAAUUCCCACACUGCACCUGCACUCCCCAAAUACCUCCCCACCAGACGAUCCCAGGGCUUGGGGCAGUCCAAGGAGCACCUGCCAGGGCGCCUGGGGUCCCACCGCUAGAGAUCCAGCCCAGCAAUCUGAAGAUGUAAGUGCCCCCAGGAGGAGUGACAGAGUGACACAAAUGACACAAGGGGAGGGGACGUGUCAGGUGUCCCCUCCUACUGCAAGUUCCCAGGGCUGAAGGCAAUGCCCCCACAGGGACUUUUCUAGACACUCCGAGUGCACUUGAAUUGCAUUUUGAGUGAUGCUACCUGCUAAGCAGGAAGAGCCCUCCGGAGCCUCGGAAUGCAGAGUGGAAGUGGUGGUGCCCAGGACGCAUGGGGCUCUGAUGGGCAGAGGGAGGUGGGCCUGAGCAUGGGCCUUCUUCUCCCCAGGUCAGAGAGGCCUGGGUGCCCCUGGAGGGAAUGCUGAGGUCACCUCUGGCCAAAUCUUCCUGUUCUGCCAGGACCCAGCCCUGUUCAGUGACAUCAAGCUUUUGGAUCCCUGUUCUGGGGCCCUCCUCCCUGGCCGGGCCCUUCUCUCCACUUUAUUGGGUCCAGAUUGUUGUGUGGC